UACGGAGGGGACUAGCGUUGUUCGGAAUUACUGGGCGUAAAGCGCACGUAGGCGGAUUUGUAAGUCAGGGGUGAAAUCCCGGGGCUCAACCUCGGAACUGCCUUUGAUACUGCAAAUCUCGAGUCCGGAAGAGGUGAGUCGGAAUUCCUAGUGUAGAGGUGAAAUUCGUAGAUAUUAGGAAGAACACCAGUGGCGAAGGCGGCUCACUGGUCCGGUACUGACGCUGAGGUGCGAAAGCGUGGGGAGCAAACAGG
rnacentral:rRNA from 1 species